rnacentral:lncRNA from 10 species
UGCAAGUGCCUGCAUCCUGUCUGUGCUGAGACCUCUUGGCGUUCCCUGCUGGCCUGGUUCAUGUGUGUUGAGGACCAGGUAAGCGUCUCUUUGUCCUGUGUAUCAGGUGCUGGCAGAGGAGGAGUGUCCGGCGUUGGGGACCCAGGAGCGACUUAGCCGUGGUGGUGAUGCCAAGUCCCCAGUUCUUCAGGAAAAGGGCCUGCAGGCCUCCCGGGCUCCAGCCACUCCUAGGGAUGAGGACCUGGAGGAGGAGGAAGAGGAGGAGGAGGAUGAGGACGAGGAUGAUUUGCUGACGGCUGGGUGUCAGGAGCUGGUGACGUUUGAAGAUGUGGCUGUGUACUUCUCCCUGGAGGAGUGGGAAAGGCUGGAAGCAGACCAGCGGGGCCUCUACCAGGAAGUCAUGCAGGAGAACUAUGGGAUUCUCGUGUCCUUGGGAUACCCAAUUCCCAAGCCCGAUCUGAUCUUCCGGCUGGAACAAGGGGAAGAACCUUGGGUCCCAGAUAGUCCCCGACCUGAGGAA